rnacentral:rRNA from 1 species
CUGGUUUCUCAAGAAAAGAAUUUUAGUCCAACCUAAAGUAACUUAGAUUUCUAUUAAUCAACACCUUACUCUAGAGCAAUUCAAAUGAGGUACAGCCCAUUUGACAAAGGAUACAACCUUCACUAACGGGUAACACUUUAUUCCCACCCUCAAGUAGGCUUAAGAGCAGCCACCUUCUUAAAAGCGUCAAAGCUUAAUUGUGCUAAUAUUAAUUUAAAAACCAACAUUGACCCCUUUAAUCAUAUUGAGAACUUCUAUAACCCUAUAGAACCUUUCAUGCUAAAACUAGUAACAAGAGAAAGCUCCUCUCUUUAAUGCCAACAUACGCCAACAAGAACCCCUCGCUGGCAAUUAACAGACCUAAACAAAAGUAGCAACCUCACUAGAAAACCCUACUCCUACACCUGUUAACCUAACACCAGAGCAUUUCAAGAAAGAUUAAAAGAAAAAGAAGGAACUCGGCAAACCUUAGCCCCGCCUGUUUACCAAAAACAUCGCCUCUUGACCCCCCAUAAGAGGUACAGCCUGCCCAGUGACUCUGUUUAACGGCCGCGGUAUCCUAACCGUGCAAAGGUAGCGUAAUCACUUGUUUUCUAAAUAAAGACCAGUAUGAAAGGCAUCACGAGAGCUAAACUGUCUCCUUUUUCCAAUCAGUGAACCUAAUUUCCCCGUGAAGAAGCGGGGAUACAUCUAUUAGACGAGAAGACCCUGUGGAGCUUAAAAUAUAAUAACAAGUGCACCUAAUUUUAACUACCCCGGUACUUCCCCGAAUGACACUUUGAUUAUAUAUUUUUGGUUGGGGUGACCGCGGAGAAAAACCCAUCCUCCGCAAUGAACGGGAAUAUCCCUAAACAAUAAGUCACAACUUUAUGUACCAAUAAAUUGACAUCCAUUGACCCAAUAAAUUGAUCAACGAACCAAGUUACCCCAGGGAUAACAGCGCAAUCCACUUUGAGAGCCCCUAUCGACAAGUGGGCUUACGACCUCGAUGUUGGAUCGGGGUGUCCUGGUGGUGCAGCCGCUACCAAUGGUUCGUUUGUUCAACGAUUAAAACCCCACGUGAUCUGAGUUCAGACCGGAGUAAUCCAGGUCGGUUUCUAUCUAUAAAGAACUAUUUUUAGUACGAAAGGAUUAAAAUAGCAUGGCCAAUGUCUCCCCCAAGCCAUAGUUAGUAAUUUUAGGGCCCAGCUCAAAAAAUAAUUAACCUUCCCCAACCUUCAAGAAAA